rnacentral:lncRNA from 1 species
GCCCUUCCUAGAAGAUGGAAGAAGAGCAAAAAUCCUUCUCUUGAAGCUUUUCUAGGCUGCUUUCCUUCUAGUAAAACGACUUAGUCUGCUAACUCCUGGUAUAAUAUAUUGAAUACCCACCUUUAACACAGCACUCAAACAGAAAAAUGAAAGGACUCCAUGUGGAUCUGUCCAUCCUGCCUCCCAGCCUCAACCUUCUUCCCUUCCCUGUGCUGUCUGUCCCACCCAAACAUAGAUCAAUUGGCUUCAGAACACU